UCAAGACUCACAGAGCCCAAGAAAACUGAAUGUGUGUUUCACAACUAAAUUGGCAAGAAAGAGAUUAGAAGAAGGCUAGUUACAUCCAUUCCUUGGGACAAACUUCGUGCCCGGUUUCCUGGCCCUUUGAUCCCGCCUCAUGUUCAGUUUGGUGCUGAUUGUCCACUGGUCCCCCCUGUGCUGAUAGAGGUGUCUCCCACUAAAAACCUGUUUGGAGCAGCCAUCUUCAGAGGGAGUGCAAGCCUGCACUAGGAGAACAAAAGAAGCCCACACUACUUGCCCUUCAAGCCCAAAUUACCACCUCGUCGACCUAAGGUGCCAGCUCAAAGGACCACAACGAUUCCAACAAUGAAGGAGCCUCAGACUGCAUCAGAAAAACCAAAUGUUGCCCUGGUGCUGCUGAAACCACGGGCCCGUCUUUCCAGAACAAAAGCCGUCAAGGAAAUUCAUCUCAUGUCAUCAGGUCCUGCGAGAGAUAAACACAGAUGUGAGUCUGUUAAAAGCCGCAAACAAAGAGCACACCACAAAAAGUGACUUAAAGGGCGCCCAUUAAUGCAUGACAGCGCUGGAGCAUAUAAAACUGUAUUAUAGAAUAAUAGUUAAUAAAAAUA